UUUUAAGAAGAUGUUCUCUGAAACUGUCCAGGGAACCAAUGGUGAUCAUUUCUAAUGCCACAAGUCCUGCUUUUGUCUCGUUUUCAUUUUUUUACUCUGUUUGUUUCGGUAUUCAUCACAACAUCUACAACAUUUAUUUCAUUGAUUGAUAUUAAUAUGCAUGGCUCUCCAGUAAAAUAUUUGUCUCUACCAUCAUACAUGUAAAUUUUUAGUACCAAUGCACUGUAAUACUUCAUGCAGCAUUUCAUAUUUUUUUAAAAAUACCAUACCAGGGGUCGUUUUCUUUUAUUUUUCAAGCAAUGCAUGUUCAAACUGAAAUAUGCUUGGUCUCACCAACCUGCAUGUUAAAAAAUGCCAUGUUCAAUCUACAUAUAAUUUUGUUUAGAAGGAACUGGAGGGGGGGGGGGGGGAUCACAAACGAGAGGUGAAUGGAUCUUUCAGAAAAAAAAAACAAAGGGGAGGAUCUCAAGCAGGCUAAUUCAACCCUAAGUACCACAGCUUGGUGAUUUGGGUUUCUGCUGCCCCUCCCAAAUGCUCUCCAUCCUUUGCUUUCUUUUGUUUUUUGGCAGGGGGCCAUCCAUGGCUUUCUUUUUUACGAAGAACACACUUGUUUGUGUGUUUUCCUGUUGUUUCUUCUUUGGAAAGGAUUCUCCCGUGAAUAGACGAGAGGGUGAUGUUUUAUUCCCACCAUUUUCUUUUUGCUGUGUUAAUGUUGUGCAAGUUGAGCUUUGGUUUGUUUGUACAUCAGCCCAAAAAAAUAACAGUAUUUUAUUCUCCAGUCAAAGUUUGUAAAAUAUAACACUCAAAAACGAAAAAAAAAAUGCUUGCCUCAAAGUUGGGCCGGCAACAACAACAGCCCAAAAGUCCUCAAACAUUGAAAAAAU
rnacentral:lncRNA from 1 species